CCUUAUGCUAAACCGCCACUUGGAGAUUUAAAAUUUAAGCCUACACAACCUGCAGAACCUUGGGAAGGUAUCUACAAUGCAACUAUUGAAGGAAAUAUUUGCAAAGGAGCAAAUAUAUUCACAGGAGAAAUACAAGGAGAAGAGGAUUGUUUAUUCCUAAACAUAUACGUCCCAGAAACAUCAUCGGAUGAACCACUUCCAGUAUUUUUCUGGAUUUACUCCGGA